rnacentral:rRNA from 1 species
GACGAACGCUGGCGGCGUGCUUAACACAUGCAAGUCGAACGGAAAGGCCCUGCUUUUGUGGGGUGCUCGAGUGGCGAACGGGUGAGUAACACGUGAGUAACCUGCCCUUGACUUUGGGAUAACUUCAGGAAACUGGGGCUAAUACCGGAUAGGAGCUCCUGCUGCAGGGUGGGGGUUGGAAAGUUUCGGCGGUUGGGGAUGGACUCGCGGCUUAUCAGCUUGUUGGUGGGGUAGUGGCUUACCAAGGCUUUGACGGGUAGCCGGCCUGAGAGGGUGACCGGCCACAUUGGGACUGAGAUACGGCCCAGACUCCUACGGGAGGCAGCAGUGGGGAAUAUUGCACAAUGGGCGGAAGCCUGAUGCAGCAACGCCGCGUGCGGGAUGACGGCCUUCGGGUUGUAAACCGCUUUCGCCUGUGACGAAGCGUUAGUGACGGUAAUGGGUAAAGAAGCACCGGCUAACUACGUG